rnacentral:lncRNA from 7 species
AGGUGAGAAGAGUGUUGAUAUUGAUUUGAGGCUAGAAACACCUUGCUAUCACUCGGACUCUGCUUGUGCUACACCUAUUUAGUUGGAUGUAUCUGUACCAGGGCCUCAGGAAGUGUGUGAAAUGUCCCAGGCACUUUCAGCCCAGCAACUCUGCUCCAGUUUCUCAGUGGAUUCCUGCAGUCACCUCUGGAUUAUGCUCAUGGAACCAUUGUGCAGAAAAUGCUUCAGAAGUCCUGCUUGGGGCCAUGUGUGGCUGGAUACUCAGCUGGGAUGAGUCAAAACCUCCAGUGUGUUUGAAGAAUCUGUAUGGUAGCUGAAAGGCUGUUGAGGUCAUGCGUGAAUGCUCACUGCGGUACCGGUCUGACUGCUGUCUCCAGCAGUGAGGACAGGGUGGGAAGUCCUGGAUGCCGGGUUUGGCCUUGCUGGGAGGUGGAAUGUCUCCACAGCCUCUCUCUCAGGAAUAGCACUGGAAACAAAUGUUAAUACAUGGCUGAAGUUGAUAUGAUUUUUUAAUUAAAGAGAAAAUUCUGCCUUUACGU